UACGGAGGGUGCAAGCAUUAAUCGGAUUUAUUGGGCGUAAAGGGCGCGUAGGCGGAAUGAUCAGUCAGAUGUGAAAUCCCGGGGCUCAACCUCGGAACAGCAUUUGAAACUGUCACUCUAGAGGAUAGAAGGAGAAAACGGAAUUCCACAAGUAGCGGUGAAAUGCGUAGAUAUGUGGAAGAACACCGGUGGCGAAGGCGGUUUUCUAUUUUAGACCUGACGCUGAGGCGCGAAAGCAAGGGGAUCAAACAGG
rnacentral:rRNA from 1 species